ACCAACGAGGAAGUUUUACCUUGCUUCUUUGUUUAGUUUCUUCAAGUGCAUAUUUUUUUAUAUUUCAGAAACCUUUAGCUAGCGUACAAAUAACGAGCGUCAUCUAGUCUGCAACUCAACUUCAUGCACUUUUAUGAUUUUGUUUUGAUUGAGUUCAUUUAGUGUACAUCAUUUCUCAUAACUACUAACGGCAGCUAGUUAGCUAGUUAGCAAAUACAGUCAGGAGCAUUUAUUGAUGUUAAUCUCUGAAGGUUUGCUCAAAUCACGAUGGUGAGUGCCAGCUAUCCAUAACCCACUACACUGCUGGAAAGGUAAUAGUGUAUUAAUCAAUGUACGGGUUGUGUACAGUUCACCCUCAAUCAUGACUCAAAUGCCAUAUCUUUACGUUGAGUCAUUGGACGUCUCUUAGGUCUGUUUAGUAACUCAGGUGUAUUGGUACACUAGUCACAGUCAAUUGUAUUGGUUUGCACAACAACCGUCUGUGGGAAGCCAGAGGUUAAAUACAAAACAAAAUUCAAGUUACUGUGCUGGUGGGAAGGACGGUUGGUCAUUAUGAGAGGGGGGAAAUUGAUACAAAAUAUAUAUAUAUAUAUAUUACCAGGUAAGUAGACUGAGAACACGUUCUCAUUUACAGCAACGACCUGGGGAAUAGUUAUAGGGGAGAGGAGGGGGAUGAAUGAGCCAAUUGUAAACUGGGGAUUAUUAGGUGACCGUGAUGGUUUGAGGGUCAGAUUGGGAGUUUAGCCAGGACUCCAGGGUUAACACCCCUACAAUAAGUGCUAUGGGAUCUUUAGUGACCACGGAGGGUCAGGACACCAGUUUAACGUCCCAUCCGAAAGACGGCACCCUACACAGAGCAGUGUCCCCGAUCACUGCCCUGGGGCAUUGGAAUAUUUUUGUUAUUAGACCAGAGGAAAGAGUGCCUCCUACUGGCCCUGCAACACCACUUCCAGCAGCAUCUGGUCUCCCAUCCAGGGACCAACCCUACUUGGCUUCAGAAGCAAGCCAGCAGCAUCUGGUCUCCCAUCCAGGGACCAACCCUACUUGGCUUCAGAAGCAAGCCAGCAGCAUCUGGUCUCCCAUCCAGGGACCAACCCUACUUGGCUUCAGAAGCAAGCCAGCAGCAUCUGGUCUCCCAUCCAGGGACCAACCCUACUUGGCUUCAGAAGCAAGCCAGCAGCAUCUGGUCUCCCAUCCAGGGACCAACCCUACUUGGCUUCAGAAGCAAGCCAGCAGCAUCUGGUCUCCCAUCCAGGGACCAACCCUACUUGGCUUCAGAAGCAAGCCAGCAGCAUCUGGUCUCCCAUCCAGGGACCAACCCUACUUGGCUUCAGAAGCAAGCCAGCAGCAUCUGGUCUCCCAUCCAGGGACCAACCCUACUUGGCUUCAGAAGCAAGCCAGCAGCAUCUGGUCUCCCAUCCAGGGACCAACCCUACUUGGCUUCAGAAGCAAGCCAGCAGCAUCUGGUCUCCCAUCCAGGGACCAACCCUACUUGGCUUCAGAAGCAAGCCAGCAGUGGGAUGCAGGGUGGGAUGCAGCUGGUUUUAUCUAAAGGAUCCUAUUAUUAAACAGACUUUCCAAACAUGGGUCUGUUGUUGAACCACUUUAUCUCUUCCUACCUUUAUGUCAUACAAGUCCCCACAUGUAAUUAUGUUUUAGUCCAAAUGUGUCUCGCUACUUUUAUUUUGAUAUGAGGUAAGCAGAGAGGAAGAGGGUCUAAAACAGACCCACAUUUGGAAACUUUGUUUAAUAAUACAAUCCUUUAGAUAUUUUGUAUUAAAUUACCCCCGACAUAAUGACCAACCGUCCUGCACACCAGCACAGUAACUUAUAAUAGAAUUGUAUUUCACUUCUGCCUUCCCACUGACGUUUUUUUUGUGAAAACUACAACACAAUUGACAGUGACUCUAGUGUUUGUAAAAACACCUAGAUGUCCCCUUUAGCCUUAUGAGACAACAGACCCGAUGCUGCACAAAAUGCUCUGUCUAAAAGCAAAUACGUUUUUUUAAAUACAAAAAUCACACUUCCUGUAUGCAGUUUAGGUUAGGUUUAUUUUUGAAAAACGCAUGCAAUCCAGACAGAAAUGUGGAAUGGAAUGGUCCAAACGCGAGCACAAGGUGAGAGGAUGUGUCGAAGCUGAAGCCAGGUACAACUUUGCUAAACUGUGCACAGUAAGAGUAUCUUUUGUAUUUUAAUGUUAUUUAUUACAGUUAAGUUCCAAACAUUUCCGAAACCGUAUCGCUAGCGAGGAUGAAGAACAUUUGUACAUGUUAAAACAUUGUUGGGGUUGUCGUUCAUAUGGAGCCAGCUGUCCUCCUUAACAUCUGCUGAGAACCCAAUACAAGGGCCAGCUGUAAGCCACCUUGAAUCCCCUUGGGUUCUCAAGAGCUUGUGUACAGUAUGCCUGAAACCCUAACCCUGAAAUACAAGUCGUUACAAUCUGUUCAGCAUUCACACUUUUCUGAUAUGCAUAUAAUGUUUAUAAUCAGAGAUUACCAGAGAAAUGUCCUCUCAAGUCCAACAUACCAGCUUCAUAGCAGUUAAUUGUUUUACAUAAUUGUUUUACAUAAUAGUCAUACAUCUCAUUCAUAUUUUCCCUUGGGAUGCGUGUCUGGUCUUUUAUUUUAGGAUGGUGAGAACAAACCCUGCCUGCCGCUCUCCUUUACCGUGCCUAAAUCUGAGGAUCUUGAUUGUAACAGUAAAGUCCAGAGUGAACAGCAGGCUCCAGAGAUGGCAUCAGUGAAGCAGGAAGACUGCAGUCAAACACUGGGGCUGAAUGUCAACAUUAAAGAUGAAGUAAAGGAGGAAGAGAUUGAAACAUUUGUGUAUCAUGGGCCGUCUGGAGAGUUCAAAGAAGAGACUGAAGAACACCAAGUCUUACUACUCAAAGGAGAAGGACCUGACUAUGCUGAACAUAAGGUUGAAGUUGAAACGUCCAGAGCGCAACACCGUGUAGAAAGCAAAGCUAAGGAGUCUAACCACUGCCCACACUGUGACAAGAGUUUCCCAUUCCCAUCAUAUCUUGAAAGACACCUGCGGAAACAUACUGGAGAGAAGCCUUAUUCCUGCUCUGUCUGUGGGAAGUGCUUCAGGACGUCAACUCAUUUAACCACUC